CCCUAGUAACGGCGAGUGAAGCGGCAACAGCUCAAAUUUGAAAUCUGGCUUCGGCCCGAGUUGUAAUUUGUAGAGGAAGAUUUAGGCGCGGCACCUUCUGAGUCCCCUGGAACGGGGCGCCAUAGAGGGUGAGAGCCCCGUAUAGUUGGAUGCCUAGCCUGUGUAAAUCUCCUUCGACGAGUCGAGUAGUUUGGGAAUGCUGCUCAAAAUGGGAGGUAAAUUUCUUCUAAAGCUAAAUAUUGGCCAGAGACCGAUAGCGCACAAGUAGAGUGAUCGAAAGAUGAAAAGCACUUUGAAAAGAGGGUUAAAUAGCACGUGAAAUUGUUGAAAGGGAAGCGCUUGUGACCAGACUUGCGCCGGGCGGAUCAUCCGGUGUUCUCACCGGUGCACUCCGCCCGGCUCAGGCCAGCAUCGGUUCUCGUGGGGGGAUAAAGGCCCUGGGAACGUAGCUCCUCCGGGAGUGUUAUAGCCCAGGGUGUAAUGCCCUCGCGGGGACCGAGGUUCGCGCAUCUGCAAGGAUGCUGGCGUAAUGGUCAUCAGCGACCCGUCUUGAAACACGGACCAAGGAGUCAAGGUUUUGCGCGAGUGUUUGGGUGUAAAACCCGCACGCGUAAUGAAAGUGAACGUAGGUGAGAGCUUCGGCGCAUCAUCGACCGAUCCUGAUGUAUUCGGAUGGAUUUGAGUAGGAGCGUUAAGCCUUGGACCCGAAAGAUGGUGAACUAUGCUUGGAUAGGGUGAAGCCAGAGGAAACUCUGGUGGAGGCUCGCAGCGGUUCUGACGUGCAAAUCGAUCGUCAAAUCUGAGCAUGGGGCGAAAGACUAAUCGA
rnacentral:rRNA from 1 species